AGUGAACGCUGGCGGUAGGCCUAACACAUGCAAGUCGAACGGCAGCACAGUAAGAGCUUGCUCUUACGGGUGGCGAGUGGCGGACGGGUGAGGAAUACAUCGGAAUCUACUUUUUCGUGGGGGCUAACGUAGGGAAACUUACGCUAAUACCGCAUCCGACCUACGGGUGAAAGCAGGGGAUCUUCGGACCUUGCGCGAUUGAAUGAGCCGAUGUCGGAUUAGCUAGUUGGCGGGGUAAAGGCCCACCAAGGCGCCGAGCCGUAGCUGGUCUGAGAGGAAGAUCAGCCACACUGGAACUGAGACACGGUCCAGACUCCUACGGGAGGCAGCAGGGGGGAAUAUUGGACAAUGGGCGCAAGCCUGAUCCAGCCAUACCGCGUGGGUGAAGAAGGCCUUCGGGUUGGAAAGCCCUUUUGUUGGGAAAGAAAAGCAGCAGGUUAAUACCCCGCUGUUCUGACGGUACCCAAAGAAUAAGCACCGGCUAACUUCGUG
rnacentral:rRNA from 1 species